UCACCUCCGAAAUGGCAGACACCUUUUCGUAUCUCUGUCGUGCUGCUUACGUUAAAGCUUUUAGUCGAAACAUCAAAGUCGAUGAUAUUUCACUCACUCUCUCUCGCAAAGCUAGAGUCUUUGGCACCUGGAACGUCAAAAAACUCCUACAGGGGAACAGAUUCUUUGUAGCUUACUCGUCCUUUGAGGUGGUCCAAAACCUUACCUCCUUUGGCCACAUUCGGGGUGAUGGC
rnacentral:lncRNA from 1 species